AUGAUUGAGAGUUUGAUCCUGGCUCAGAACGAACGCUGGCGGCGUGGAUUAGGCAUGCAAGUCGAACGAGAAUCCCGUGAACGGAAGCUUCGGCCGAAGGGAUCGGGAGGACAGUGGCGAACGGGUGAGUAACGCGUAAGCAAUCUGCCCUUGACUGGGGAAUAACGUUUCGAAAGAGACGCUAAUACCGCAUA
rnacentral:rRNA from 1 species